rnacentral:misc_RNA from 1 species
AGGUUUGUCUCAAUUGAAUUCCUCUGCUUUCACAAAAUCAAAGAUCAGAUUAGCCAGAGUAAGAUUGAUAAGAGAGAAGGGCAGAUGAAACUCAAUGUUCAUACUGAAUAACUUGACUAUAUCUUUCAUAGCUUGAAAUGUUCAAUAGCAACAGCUAGAGGGAAGCAAAUGCACAGAAUGGUUUAACAAGCCAAAACCGAGAUAACGUCACCAAUUAUGAGAAAUUACUACUAAUCUGUCCUAAUAGCAUUUCAGCAUGCAAGGCAAUUGUGGAAAAUGCAAAGGAUUUCAUCUUAAAAUGUCAAUGAAACUUCCAAGUAUUACAUUUUAAAAUGUCAAUUAAAUCCAUUGCUACCCCAGGGAGGGAGACACGAAUGUCAAUGAAACUUACUCUCAGCAUCAGCACUCUCCCCAGUGUCCAUUAAUCCUACAAUUGAUCCCACCCGUCUUAUAGCUGCAUUCCCAGUCAGCACAACGGUACUUUUCGCAGAGGUCAUUAUAUUAUCCCAUUACUUUUGAGUUGUGUUAGGUGAGAGAAAGACUAUAGAUGGUCCAACUUUUUCAACAGGUU